AGGGACUUAGGAUAAAUUAAACCAAGGGCCUUCAAAGCCCUAAACAAGGGUGAAAUCCCCUUAGUCUCUG
rnacentral:tRNA from 1 species